rnacentral:rRNA from 1 species
AUGGACGGGAUCCUGUCGCUACAUGAAGUCAUUCAUUAUACCCAUGUGAAAAAAAAGACGGGGAUUGUCCUUAAACUUGACUUCGAAAAAGCCUAUGACAAGGUCAAUUGGGAUUUCCUUCUUGAUUGUCAUAGUAAGAGAGGCUUUAAUCCUAAGUGGUGUGGGUGGGUGUCCCAGAUUCUUCGUGAUGGCACGGUUAGUGUCAAGAUCAAUGAUGAGCUCGGGCCCUAUAUUCAAAGUGCCAAAGGGGUGCGUCAGGGUGACCCUCAUUCCCCUUUUUUGUUCAAUAUGGCCGCUGAGUGUCUGACCAAGAUGGUUCUGGCUGCCCAAAAAAAUAAGUUGUUCGAGGGGCUCGCGUCUGAUCUUAUUAAGGGGGGAGUGGGGAUAUUGCAGUAUGCAGAUGAUACAGUUAUUUGCUUCUCUCAU